rnacentral:rRNA from 1 species
UACGGAGGGUGCAAGCGUUGUUCGGAAUCAUUGGGCGUAAAGCGCGUGUAGGCGGCUUGGCAAGUCGGGUGUGAAAUCCCGGGGCUCAACCCCGGAACUGCAUUCGAAACUGCCUCGCUAGAGUCACGGAGAGGAAGGCGGAAUUCCCGGUGUAGAAGUGAAAUUCGUAGAUAUCGGGAGGAACACCAGCGGCGAAGGCGGCCUUCUGGACGAUGGCUGACGCUGAGACGCGAAAGCGUGGGGAGCAGACAGG